rnacentral:rRNA from 1 species
AGGGUGAACGGCCACAAGGGGACUGAGACACGGCCCUUACUCCUACGGGAGGCAGCAGUGGGGAAUAUUGGACAAUGGACCACAAGUCUGAUCCAGCAAUUCUGUGUGCACGAUGACGUUUUUCGGACUGUAAAGUGCUUUCAGUCGGGAAGAAGUCAGUGACGGUACCGACAGAAGAAGCGACGGCUAAAUACGUGCCAGCAGCCGCG